rnacentral:rRNA from 1 species
AGUCACUGACAUUAGAUACCCGUGUAGUCCAGGGUGUAAACGCUGCAGACUUGGUGUUGGAGGCCCUUUGGGGCAUUCAGUGCCGGAGAGAAGUUGUUAAGUCUGCUACUUGGGGAGUACGUCCGCAAGGAUGAAACUUAAAGGAAUUGGCGGGGGAGCACCGCAACGGGAGGAGCGUGCGGUUUAAUUGGAUUCAACACCGUAAACUCACCAGGGAAGACUGUUACAUGAAAGCCGAGAUGAAGACUCUGCUAGAUUUUCAG